rfam:Triticum urartu cultivar G1812 contig712812, whole genome shotgun sequence.
AGAUGCGAUCAUACCAGCACUGAAGCACUGGAUCCCAUCGGAACUCCGAAGUUAGCAUUCUCGGGUGAGAGUAGUACUAGGAUGGGCGACCUCCUAGGAAGUCCACGUGUGUUGCAUUCC